GUUCAGGGUUCCGAUUUCCGCCCCACCAUCCGCCGCCGCCGACGAUGCUUCGUCGUUGCAUCCUUCGCAGCCCUUGCACUACGUACUAUCGUAGCCCUCUUUUCUUUAUAGCUUGUGUUGUCUAUUUUGAUUUGGUAAUUCAGGCCCCGUAGAAUGUUUUCUUUUGUUUUAUGCAUGCAAAGGUCGAUUUGGUGAUAGGAGCGGUGAUGAUUUUGUGGACUAGAGUUUCCGAUACUACCACGGUAGUAUUUGACGACCAAACCCUUGGCUGUCUGAGCUCCUAAAUCACAGUCUUCGACCACUUCGCUGUUUAUAUAUAUACAUGCGAGAUCUGCGGUCUUUAUUUUCUUCUGCAAUGCAAUGGUAUGAUGAGAUUACGGGUAAUGAAGAACAAGUGAGUUUUCGACUAGAGUCUCUGAUGCUGCUACUUUGUUGGCGGUAGUUGAAGACCAAACCCUUGGCUGUCUGAACUCAAUCUGAGCAUACUACUUGCUGGUUUCAUAGUAGUUAUAAAAAAUAUCUUUUGCUGCAUGCGUCCAUUACCAAUUCCGGAGGAUUAUUUCGUUCCUCACGGUAUAAUGGCUCGGACGCAACAAGCUAUUCUCUUGAUGUGUGGUUAUAUCCUGAUUGGUGGCGUUCUUAUGCCAAUCCGAUCUUGGAAAGGCCACAUAUAUUUUUUCAUUUGCAAAAAUCUGUAAACGUUUUUUUUUCUUAGUUACGUGAUCUAAAUGAUGUGAAACUUUGAAAGGGAAAGCACCCAAUCUGAUCGGUUGUGGUGUACCAUGACACUUCUUUCAUAUUGAAUAGGAAGAUCUGAUAGAUCCAUGAAACUUUUUUUUGUUGCUGUGCUCUGUUUAGAGAUGUUGAUGAUGAUAACACAAGUAAAAUACAGUUAUCCCUGUCUGAUUCCUUCAAAAGGGUGCUGAUUACGUUAUUCUGACACAUCUGUAUUUAUUAAAAAAAUUGUCGUGUUCCAUGCGCAUUUUAGUUUCGUUAAUUGGAGUAAAAGAUGACUGCUUUAAAGUUUCUCUGACCUUGGCCUAUGAUGACAUGAUUGUUUCAGAAGAAGCAAAUUUUUUGUCUAAUCUUGUUGAUAUUUAUCAUGAACUAGGACGGUCUGAGGCAAAUUUCUGUCUAAUUUGUUUUUUGUUUGUCUUUCCCACGAACUCUUUGAUUGAUUGGAUCUUGAGAGCUAUGACUUAUAAAGCAGUGUUCUUUCCCCAUCUUUUGAUUCUGAUUUGACCAUUGUUGGCUGUGUUGGAGGAUGAUGAUAUGGUUUUGUCGCCCCAGUCUUAGAUCCGGACUUCCGGACCUUUGCUGAUUGACAUGUUAAUUGAAUCUGACUCCAUUGUCUUAACUAUGUUUUUUAUCUGUUAGAUUCUUUAGGUGACAAUUUACAAUUGAUGCAUUUGACUGUUCCAGAUAUUUGUUGGUGCAUUGCAGAUGAUGAUAAAUCUGAGGCUUGUUUCUCUACAUUCGCAGUUGCCGCCUAAGAGCUUUCGCCUUGCCAGGCUUGAGAGCUAGUGCUGCUAAAUCCUUCCUUGGAUGUCUGAUGCGAUUCAAAUCCAAUUCUUUUGUGCUUUGGUUGUAGAGGGUUCCGUAGGUUUCGGUCUAAAAUCGUGUGCUUUGCAAGAUCAGCUUCUUGUUUGGACUUCGAAACUGAAACCUGGUCCAGGCAAUCGGCAAAUCAUCCUGCCAUCUUGCGAUACUGUAUCCAAGCCAGCUUAAACUCACCUGGAUCUGACGUCCUGAUUUUCUGGGCCCUUUCGGCUGGCACAUGCCUUCUGCUUCAGCCAUUUAUGCUUCUCUUUUCUGCUGUUGCUUGAACUGUGUACCUGAAUGUUUUACUGCUUACCCUAGCUAAAAUUUUCUUGAAUGGCUAUUUGCUAUGGCACACAGCAAAAGCUUAUGUUGCAAGGUCAUGUUUUGAAUUGAAGGCAUAACUCUUAUUUGAGAAUCCUGUAUUUUCUUGGCCCCACAAAUCAAGCUCCUGUAUUAGCUUUAUCAGUAAGCGAUUGUUUCUAGAUAUGGAUGUAAUGGAGCUUCUCCCAAAUAGCAAACAAGUUUCGGCUGCAUAACUCUUAUUUGAGAAGGAUGAUUUGUUUGGCGUGAGAUACUGAAGUCGUGGCUCCCUACCUUUAUCAGUAAUCAAAGGAUGCGCCAAAUGCUUGCAGACUCCAGUGAGCAGGACUGCAGUAUACACGUACAUUGAGGCAGUAAUAUUAAUGUUGAUAGAGAGAAUUAAAUACAUCUCUUUGUUUUUGAACUAGAGGUUUAUGCCUUGUAUACUGGGAGUAAGUAUUCUGUUGCUGCAAAUAGUACGUACAAAACACCCGACUCGGAUAUAAAGUGCCGUAGGGUACGGCACUGAGUAGAUGAAGAACAGAACUCGGUUACAUCCAUAAUUCGUAGCAAUAAAACAGUGCCCCGUUUAUUU